rnacentral:rRNA from 1 species
AUUGAACGCUAGCGGCAUGCUUUACACAUGCAAGUCGAACGGCGGCGCGGGGCAACCUGGCGGCGAGUGGCGAACGGGUGAGUAAUGCAUCGGAACGUACCCUGGAGUGGGGGAUAGCCCGGCGAAAGCCGGAUUAAUACCGCAUACGACCUACGGGUGAAAGCGGGGGACCGCAAGGCCUCGCGACCCAGGAUCGGCCGCUGUCAGAUUAGGUAGUUGGUGGGGUAAAGGCCUACCAAGCCGACUAUCUGUAGCUGGUCUGAGAGGACGACCAGCCACACUGGGACUGAGACACGGCCCAGACUCCUACGGGAGGCAGCAGUGGGGAAUUUUGGACAAUGGGCGCAAGCCUGAUCCAGCAAUGCCGCGUGCGGGAAGAAGGCCUUCGGGUUGUAAACCGCUUUUGUUGGGGACGAAACAGCUUGGGCCAAUACCUCGAGCGAAUGACGGUACCCAAAGAAUAAGCACCGGCUAACUACGUGCCAGCAGCCGCAGUAACAC